ACGUGAUCUGAGUUCAGACCGGAGUAAUCCAGGUCAGUUUCUAUCUAUAAAGGGCUUUUUCUAGUACGAAAGGACCGAAAAAGCAUGGCCAAUGACUUAUUAAGCCAUAUUAUAAACUUAUGAUUUCAUCUUAAUAAUUUAAAUACCUUUUAUUUUUCCCUAAGAUAAGAGAA
rnacentral:rRNA from 2 species